rnacentral:rRNA from 1 species
GAUGAACGCUGGCGGCGUGCCUAAUACAUGCAAGUCGAGCGAACAGACGAGGAGCUUGCUCCUCUGACGUUAGCGGCGGACGGGUGAGUAACACGUGGAUAACCUACCUAUAAGACUGGGAUAACUUCGGGAAACCGGAGCUAAUACCGGAUAAUAUAUUGAACCGCAUGGUUCAAUAGUGAAAGACGGUUUUGCUGUCACUUAUAGAUGGAUCCGCGCCGCAUUAGCUAGUUGGUAAGGUAACGGCUUACCAAGGCGACGAUGCGUAGCCGACCUGAGAGCGUGAUCGGCCACACUGGAACUGAGACAGGGUCCAGACUCCUACGGGAGGCAGCAGUAGGGAAUCUUCCGCAAUGGGCGAAAGCCUGACGGAGCAACGCCGCGUGAGUGAUGAAGGUCUUAGGAUCGUAAAACUCUGUUAUUAGGGAAGAACAAAUGUGUAAGUAACUAUGCACGUCUUGACGGUACCUAAUCAGAAAGCCACGGCUAACUACGUG